CUUCUGUCCCAGCUCUGAAAACUUUUCUGUUCCUUCAGGCUUAUGCAGGGAAGGAAGAAUGCAUCUUUCCACAACAGGUGAUUUCAACUUUUAAAAUAUGGUUUUUUUUCUUGUUAUAAGCCGUAUUUUGUUUCUGUUCAUGAAUGGCAGAAUAUAUUCUUGCCGUUUGCUCUAAUUUUAUUUCGUUUACAAAUAACGUUCAAUGUUACUGUUUUAAAUGGAGAAUCCUGGGACCUGUAGUGUGUUCCGGGUGCUGGGAACUGUAGCUCUUGUGAGGCGUAGCUGUCAACCUUCCCUUUUUUUGUGGGAAAUUCCCUUAUUCCAGCGCCGUUUCCCGCUGCUUCCCACUGCUAUCCUGAAUUGUUAGAUAUCCCGUAGACUGUCCCCGGGAUAGGUGAGGCUGCUGAUCCCUUAUUUUUGAGGCUUCUGAUCCCUUAUUUUCAAAUCUGAAAGUUGACAGCUAUGUUGUGAGGUCAGCACUCUUUACACAUGGCGGUUCCCAGCAUUCUCCAUGACUGUUAAAGUGGUAUAAUAGCUCGCUAAAUGUACGGUGCGGAUGUGGCCUAAGUUUUCCUCAAAGUUAACAAGUUGAAAUUAAGAGACUUAAGUUAGUUAUGUCCAUCAACUUCAGUGGGACUACUCUGAGCAGGUCUGGUAUUGGCUACAACCCUACAUGUGCUGCCUCUGAGCUGCAGUCCUCACCCCCCAAUUUAGCUGGCCCCGAGGAUUUCUUGAAAUGCAUAAAAAAGCCAAAACGCUGGUUUUCACACAGUAACAUUAAAGGAGGGAGGGGGUGUUUCAGGAAAUCAUCUUAUCACAGCGGUGGCAGACGUUUUGAAAUAAUCUUUGGCAAGUGGGUAAUUAUGUGCCCUUUACUGAUGGUCUUACAUUUAUGUAUGGGUUUUGUAUAGAUUGGGAUGGGCAAACCUGUCAGUAUCAGUUUCUCAUUAUUCCAAAUGUAAGUUAAAGGAUGCAUUUUUGCAUCAGCUAUUACGCCCCCUUAAGUCGUCAUGAAAAUUUGCCACCGUUUCCUUUACAUACAUAUUUUGUGUGUGCAGUUUUGCCUAAAAGAUGCAUUCCUCCUGAAUGAUUCACCCAAUAUAUGCAUUUGUUGUUGUUGGAGAACCAUACCGCAAAAACCAACAAAACGUCAAUGGGGAAGGGUGGCUUCAUUGCAAUUCACACAUUGUUUUGGGAACAAAUUAGGUAAUUUUGCAUUAAAAUUGUGAACUGCACUGAAUUGCUCCUGUGUCCCUUUAUAUAGAAGAUUUGAUAAAUAAAACCUGACUAUUGCUAUUUUAGAGGGACGCGGGUGGCGCUGUGGGUUAAACCACAGAGCCUAGGACUUGCCGAUCAAAAGGUCGGUGGUUCGAAUCCCCGUGACGGGGUGAGCUCAAGUUGCUCGGUCCCUGCUCCUGCCAACCUAGCAGUUUGAAAGCACCUCAAAGUGCAAGUAGAUAAAUAGGUACCGCUCCGGCGGGAAGGUAAAUGGCGUUUCCAUGUGCUGCUCUGGUUCGCCAGAGGCAGCUUGGUCAUGCUGGCCACAUGACUCGGAAGCUGUCUGCAGACAAACUCCGGCUCCCUUGGCCAAUAAAGCGAGAUGAGUGCCGCAACCCCAGAGUCGGUCACGACUGGACCUAAUGGUCAGGGGUCCCUUUACCUUUACCUUUUUAUUGCUAUUUUUUAAGCCACACAGAAUGAGAUCAACGUUUGUCCUGAAUUCAAAGGAACUACGUAAAGUGAAGCAACGUCUUGAUACAUAUAGAUAGAUGAUAGAUAGAUAGAUAGAUAGAUAGAUAGAUAGAUAGAUAUGUGUGUGUGUGUGUGUGUGUGUGUGUAGACAGCAUAUUCCUACACAAAGUCCCAUUGAGCUCAGUGACACUUGCUCCUAGGUAAGUGUCUAUGGGAUUGCAACCCAAAGCCCCAUCUGCACUAUGCCUUUAAAGCAGUAUUAUACCACUUUUUAAACUCCCAAAGAAUCCUGGGAGUUGUGGUUUGUUAAGAGUGCUGAGAAUUGUUAGGAGGACCCAAUUCCUCUAACAGACCUACAAUUCCCAGAGCUUUGAUUGUCUGAAAAAAACAUCCCCUGAUUAAUUAGGUGGCAGACACAUUUUUUGAAAAAUGCAUAUGUGAAAUUUAAUACAGGUAUGUACAAACCCUGCAGAUGACAAGCAUCGUUUUAGAAGAGGUAUUCCCUUCUGUGUGGAAGAGAAUUGGCGACAGGGAGACGAGAAUGCCUCUUUUGACAUGGUCCUGGCAACAACACUUUGCUGCAGCGUUCUGAAAUAACCUUGGAAGUGGGCGAGUCAUCUGAAUACUGAUGAUGAUGAGAUGUGGC
rnacentral:lncRNA from 1 species